AGAGUUUGAUCCUGGCUCAGAUUGAACGCUGGCGGCAGGCCUAACACAUGCAAGUCGGGCGGUAACAGGGAGAAGCUUGCUUCUCCGCUGACGAGCGGCGGACGGGUGAGUAAUGUAUGGGGAUCUGCCUGAUGGCGGGGGAUAACUACUGGAAACGGUAGCUAAUACCGCAUAAUGUCUUCGGACCAAAGCGGGGGACCUCCGGGCCUCGCGCCAUCAGAUGAACCCAUAUGGGAUUAGCUUGUAGGUGGGGUAACGGCUCACCUAGGCGACGAUCCCUAGCUGGUCUGAGAGGAUGACCAGCCACACUGGAACUGAGACACGGUCCAGACUCCUACGGGAGGCAGCAGUGGGGAAUAUUGCACAAUGGGCGCAAGCCUGAUGCAGCCAUGCCGCGUGUGUGAAGAAGGCCUUCGGGUUGUAAAGCACUUUCAGCGGGGAGGAAGGCGGUGAGGUUAAUACGCUCAUCAAUUGACGUUACCGACAGAAGAAGCACCGGCUAACUCCGUGCCAGCAGCCGCGGUAAUAC
rnacentral:rRNA from 1 species